rnacentral:lncRNA from 1 species
UAUGCCUUACCUAUUCAUUUUGUUUUUAUUUUCUUUCUAGCCAAACAACCUCUGAGGAUGUUUUCUCAAAGGAUGAGUGGCUAGGUUUUUCGUUUCUUGGACUAAAGGAAGCUAGGUAAGGGAUUCAGAUACAAAUGUGAGAGUUUUCCUUGUUUUAAAUGAGGAGAGUUGUUACUAGUUAAUGGUUUUUAUUUUUUAAUUUAACUUAAAAUCCCU